GAGGUGAAGCUGGUGGAGUCUGGGGGAGGCUUAGUGCAGCCUGGAGGGUCCCUGAAACUCUCCUGUGCAGCCUCUGGAUUCACUUUCAGUGACUACGGAAUGGCGUGGGUUCGACAGGCUCCAAGGAAGGGGCCUGAGUGGGUAGCAUUCAUUAGUAAUUUGGCAUAUAGUAUCUACUAUGCAGACACUGUGACGGGCCGAUUCACCAUCUCUAGAGAGAAUGCCAAGAACACCCUGUACCUGGAAAUGAGCAGUCUGAGGUCUGAGGACACGGCCAUGUAUUACUGUGCAAGA